CCUACGGGUGGCAGCAGUGAGGAAUAUUGGUCAAUGGGCGAGAGCCUGAACCAGCCAAGUCGCGUGAAGGAUGACGGCCCUACGGGUUGUAAACUUCUUUUGUCAGGGAGCAAUUGAGUCCACGUGUGGGCUUAGCGAGAGUACCUGAGUAAGAAGCUCCGGCUAAAUACGUGCCAGCAGCCGCGGUAAUACGUAUGGAGCAAGCGUUAUCCGGUUUUACUGGGCGUAAAGGGAGCGUAGGCGGCCUGCCAAGUCUGAUGUGUAAUACCGGGGCUCAACCCCGGGGCUGCAUUGGAAACUGGCAGGCUGGAGUGCCGGAGAGGCAGGCGGAAUUCCUAGUGUAGCGGUGAAAUGCGUAGAUAUUAGGAGGAACACCAGUGGCGAAGGCGGCCUGCUGGACGGUGACUGACGCUGAGGCUCGAAAGCGUGGGGAGCAAACAGGAUUAGAUACCCCAGUAGUC
rnacentral:rRNA from 1 species